rnacentral:rRNA from 1 species
GAUGAACGCUGGCGGCGUGCCUAAUACAUGCAAGUCGAGCGAACGGACGAGAAGCUUGCUUCUCUGAUGUUAGCGGCGGACGGGUGAGUAACACGUGGAUAACCUACCUAUAAGACUGGGAUAACUUCGGGAAACCGGAGCUAAUACCGGAUAAUAUUUUGAACCGCAUGGUUCAAAAGUGAAAGACGGUCUUGCUGUCACUUAUAGAUGGAUCCGCGCUGCAUUAGCUAGUUGGUAAGGUAACGGCUUACCAAGGCAACGAUGCAUAGCCGACCUGAGAGGGUGAUCGGCCACACUGGAACUGAGACACGGUCCAGACUCCUACGGGAGGCAGCAGUAGGGAAUCUUCCGCAAUGGGCGAAAGCCUGACGGAGCAACGCCGCGUGAGUGAUGAAGGUCUUCGGAUCGUAAAACUCUGUUAUUAGGGAAGAACAUAUGUGUAAGUAACUGUGCACAUCUUGACGGUACCUAAUCAGAAAGCCACGGCUAACUACGUGCCAGCAGCCGCGGUAAUACGUAGGUGGCAAGCGUUAUCCGGAAUUAUUGGGCGUAAAGCGCGCGUAGGCGGUUUUUUAAGUCUGAUGUGAAAGCCCACGGCUCAACCGUGGAGGGUCAUUGGAAACUGGAAAACUUGAGUGCAGAAGAGGAAAGUGGAAUUCCAUGUGUAGCGGUGAAAUGCGCAGAGAUAUGGAGGAACACCAGUGGCGAAGGCGACUUUCUGGUCUGUAACUGACGCUGAUGUGCGAAAGCGUGGGGAUCAAACAGGAUUAGAUACUCUGGUAGUCCACGCCGUAAACGAUGAGUGCUAAGUGUUAGGGGGUUUCCGCCCCUUAGUGCUGCAGCUAACGCAUUAAGCACUCCGCCUGGGGAGUACGACCGCAAGGUUGAAACUCAAAGGAAUUGACGGGGACCCGCACAAGCGGUGGAGCAUGUGGUUUAAUUCGAAGCAACGCGAAGAGCCUUACCAAAUCUUGACAUCCUUUGACAACUCUAGAGAUAGAGCUUUCCCCUUCGGGGGACAAAGUGACAGGUGGUGCAUGGUUGUCGUCAGCUCGUGUCGUGAGAUGUUGGGUUAAGUCCCGCAACGAGCGCAACCCUUAAGCUUAGUUGCCAUCAUUAAGUUGGGCACUCUAAGUUGACUGCCGGUGACAAACCGGAGGAAGGUGGGGAUGACGUCAAAUCAUCAUGCCCCUUAUGAUUUGGGCUACACACGUGCUACAAUGGACAAUACAAAGGGCAGCGAAACCGCGAGGUCAAGCAAAUCCCAUAAAGUUGUUCUCAGUUCGGAUUGUAGUCUGCAACUCGACUACAUGAAGCUGGAAUCGCUAGUAAUCGUAGAUCAGCAUGCUACGGUGAAUACGUUCCCGGGUCU